UGUCCCUACAACGACCAACGACGUCGGUC
rnacentral:sRNA from 1 species